rnacentral:lncRNA from 1 species
AAACAAUCAUUUUUAUUUAUCAUAAUUAGUGUUAUAAAAGCACUAUUUAUCUUCUUGUAUAAUCCAUUUUCAAGUAUUGUUAUUUUAUUGACAAUAUUUAUUUAAAACUAUUUUAUUUUAUAAGAACAUACGAAAAUAACCACCGCGGCGUAGUGCGGGUAAUUUCCUAGUGUUGCUGGAAAUUAGACAAAAAAGUUUACUCUGGAUAUGAGGUUAAUAUGUGGGAAGACCCUUGGAUCCCUACCACACCGGCUAGGUCGGCUCGACCUUUG